GUCAUCAGAAGAGGGCUCUGAGAGGGUCAGGAUACGGAGAUUGAGACUGGAGCACUAGGGAAGCCAUAGAGGACCUCGGAGAGACUAGAGCUACGGGACGCCAGGGCCUCCCACCCCUUCCCCCACGACGGAAGCGCUGGCAGCUAGCGGCCUGAGUUCUGAGAGCAGGGGUCUGAGGAGGGCCCCGAGUUCCGCGGCUGUUUUCACCUCCAAAGAAACUUUCCCGGACCUCUCGGCUGCUACGACGCUCCAACCAACCGCCGGGAGCCCGCCCCUGCCUCCGGCUCCGCCCUGCACCGCCCCCGACAUGCUAAUAACGACUCGGCGAGCGAUCGGAUUGGGUAUACCCUUCCCUUGGGGCGUGACCAUGCAGAUGAAGGUCGGCGCGCCCGUUGGUAAUUGGUUGCGGUAGCCACUGAGUCCCGUGGGAGGUAAGUAGGGAAGGCUGCAGGCGGGCACGUCAAGUUCGGCUGUGCUCGGCCGCUCUCGGGACCAAUCAGGAUGUUUUCAGGUUUCGCCGGGUGGAGCCUCUUAAAGGGCCAGCAGGAGAGGCUCAGACGACUCCUCCCCUGCUGAAGGCGAGACUCCCCGCCCCUGCGCGAUCCCGAGACGGGUGAGGCCGAGUCCGGCCCCGCCCUAGUUGUCAUGGGAACGGUAGUAGGUUGCUAGGGAAGGGGUUAAGGUCUUUUGGAGCAGUCCCUUUCCCCACUGCAAGGUGGGACCUGUUCUCAGCAGACCGGUAGGGAAGUUUCCCGUUUAUUGACUGGCUUAAAGCCCCCAACGGGACUGUGCCCCGCCCUGCAUGCAGGGGCUACCCUCCCUCCUGUGAAAGGGCCUCAGCUUUCUCUCCUAUGCAAUGGAAGCUUUGCACAGUGUCCACGUCCAGAAGGCCGCAUGCGGCGAGGCUGAGACCAGGAACUGGGCUGGAAGCAACUAGGAAGAAUGUGUUGGGGACCAGAAAGCUGCGAGGACCUCGUGAAGAUGGAGGGCCAGGAGACCCUGCUCUGGGAUCUUGGUGACCCCUAGGCAGCAGCCUGGUCCUCUUACAGCCUGGACUGUGUUUCCUCUGACCCCAGGAUAACUGUGGUCACUGGAUGCUCCUGAUGGCCCAUUAGACCCCAAACAAUCUACCCACAGCACUUUCCUGCUCUCGCCUCCUUGCAUUUUCCUCCUCACUUACUCCGGCGACCUCAACGUUCCUUAGAUAUGUCCAUUUCAUUCAUUCCCACCUCUGGACCCUUGCACUUGCUCUUAAUGCCCUUUCCCAGAUUAAAUGUCCCCGUUCCAGUGAGACAUUCCCAGGCUUGUACCCUACCCCAUACACCCCAUCUUAUCUUUGCUCCAUAUGUUCAUUUCCUCCCUAUAAGCUGCCUGUUUGCUCAUUGCUGUAUUGCCAGCACCCAGAACAGUGCCCACAGGUGCUGUUAAUGCAUAUAUAUUGAAUAAACAAAUAAAUGUAUAA